GUGGGGAAUAUUGGACAAUGGGCGCAAGCCUGAUCCAGCCAUGUCGCGUGAGUGAUGAAGGCCUUAGGGUUGUAAAGCUCUUUCACCGGUGAAGAUAAUGACGGUAACCGGAGAAGAAGCCCCGGCUAACUUCGUGCCAGCAGCCGCGGUAAUACGAAGGGGGCUAGCGUUGUUCGGAAUUACUGGGCGUAAAGCGCACGUAGGCUGAUAUUUAAGUCAGGGGUGAAAUCCCGGGGCUCAACCCCGGAACUGCCUUUGAUACUGGGUAUCUUGAGUAUGGAAGAGGUCAGUGGAAUUGCGAGUGUAGAGGUGAAAUUCGUAGAUAUUCGCAGGAACACCAGUGGCGAAGGCGGCUGACUGGUCCAUUACUGACGCUGAGGUGCGAAAGCGUGGGGAGCAAACAGGAUUAGAUACCCUUGUAGUCC
rnacentral:rRNA from 1 species